CCCUCCAGUAGGUUACAAUGGCUCCUUAUCUCACCCCUCCAGUAGGUUACAAUGGCUCCUCUCUCACCCCUCCAGUAGGUUGCAAUGGCUCCUCUCUCACCCUUCCAGUAGGUUACAAUGGCUCCUCUCUCACCCCUCCAGUAGGGUACAAUGGCUCCUCUCUCACCCCUCCAGUAGGUUACAAUGGCUCCUUAUCUCACCCCUCCAGUAGGUUACAAUGGCUCCUCUCUCACCCCUCCAGUAGGUUACAAUGGCUCCUCUCUCACCCCUCCAGUAGGUUACAAUGGCUCCUUAUCUCACCCCUCCAGUAGGUUACAAUGGCUCCUUAUCUCACCCCUCCAGUAGGUUACAAUGGCUCCUCUCUCACCCCUCCAGUAGGGUACAAUGGCUCCUCUCUCACCCCUCCAGUAGGUUACAAUGGCUCCUUAUCUCACCCCUCCAGUAGGUUACAAUGGCUCCUUAUCUCACCCCUCCAGUAGGUUACAAUGGCUCCUUAUCUCACCCCUCCAGUAGGUUACAAUGGCUCCUUAUCUCACCCCUCCAGUAGGUUACAAUGGCUCCUUAUCUCACCCCUCCAGUAGGUUACAAUGGCUCCUUAUCUCAUCCCUCCAGUAGGUUACAAUGGCUCCUUAUCUCACCCCUCCAGUAGGUUACAAU